AAGACAUGGAACAAAGUCUAAACUCAGAAAGAGUUUCAGUGAAAGACACUAGGGAAUGUUUGUCAAAUGAAAGAGUUGAAUCUGAGAAAUCCUUGUAUGCUUCUUCGUCUCAUAAAUCAAGACGUGUUAUUUUGGGUGAGAUAGCUUUGCGAUACAAGGGUAUAAACUUUGCAAAGCAACAGCUAGACCUUGGAUCCAAGCACUUCUCCUGUAUUAACAGUCGCGAUGUUUUGGAUACUUUAGUUAGCAAUGAGAGUGAUAUUGAAAGCUACAGCGACAAUGAAGACGAUGA